rnacentral:tRNA from 1 species
UCCCUGUUGGUUCAGUGGUUAAGCAUCUGCCUUGCAUGCAGAGGAUGUGGGUUUGAUUCCUGACCGGGGAA